ensembl:lncRNA
CGAAUAGGUUAAGUUAACAAAUCAUGAUUCGUUAGUGUAGAAUAACGAUUGGCCACUCCAUACACGGACACCGGACUCUCCGCCUACUAAAGAAAAAUACUUUUUCUUAAAACGAAAAGAUAGAAGAGAGAAAAGUAAGGACGGCAGUAUGUUACCCAAUAUUUCAAACAGGAAGGUGGGUGAAGUCGGUGAGUGGUGGAAAUGUACCUGUUAGCUUAGUCCAGAUUUGAAAUAGGCUACCUUUGCACCCCUGCCGUUAUAGUUAAUAUCUUAACAGAAAAUUCUGAGUGUUUGAAUUUCGUUCCUCUUUUAGACGACAUUUAAUCAAUUCAGGCAAACUUUCAGCAAUCUAUUGAUACUAAAUCAGUUGUCCCUGCCUGAUGCCGGGGCCAACAGCUUCAGGCUCAGGAGACUUGUCUGCCCAUUCCCAGAACCAGCCAUACUCCCAACUGAAAGAGGUUUUAAUUGUCUGUGACAUGAAGAUUGAAGAUGAGGGAUGAUGUCAUUGUGCUGUUCAAACCGCCCCAAGAAUACAGUGUUAUCUUUUUCCAGUGAAAUGGAGAGGUUAGAAGAACUAUGAAGCAGUUUCCAGUCUUAAUGUCGAUCGUAAGUUAAAGGUGUUCUAGUAACCCUCUAUAGACUAUUGUGUGGUUCUGGAAGGUUGUCUUCGUUAAUUCAGCAUUCAGGGUAUAAUAAUGUGGGCAUACAAGUUGUUAUGCUUUCUAUAGUUUUUUUCUGUUACGUGUGGACACUGAGUGGCUCAUACAUACUGUGUUACCUGUGUUACUUUGCAUGUAUGCAAAAAUGCAAAGAGUUGUUGGAGUGAUCCUAUUUCCAAUUGAGGACAAUACAGUGUGUUUUCUGGACAUAUCUUACUGCUUGGAUGCAUCACAUUUUGAAAGCAGAAGACCAGUGUUAGAAUUGCUAACAUACAGUUGUGCUCAUAAGUUUGCAUUCAUUGGCAGAAAUUGACAUUUUUGUAUUGAUUUUAAAUAUAAUACUGAUCAUCCAGAAAUCUCUUAUUUAAGGAUAGUGAUCAUAUAAAGCCAUUUAUUAUCACAUAGUUGUCUGGCUCCUCUUUAAAUCAUAAUGAUAACAGAAAUCACACAAAUGGCCCUGGGAAAAAAAAGUUUACAUACCCUUGAAUGUUUGGCCUUGUUACAGACACAAGGUGACACACGCAGGUGAAAAUGCCAAUUAAAUGUGGAUUUCCCACACCUGUGGCUUUUUAAAUUGCAAUUAGUGUCUUGUAAUCAAUUGUCAAUGAGUUUGUUAGCUGUCAUGUGGAUACACUGAGAAGGCUAGAUACUGAGCCAUGGGGAGCAGAAAAUAACUGUUGAAUGACCUCCGUAACAAGGUAAUGGAACUUUAUAAAGAUGGGAAAAGGUUAUAAAAAGAUCUCCAAAGCCUUGCAACUGCCAGCCAGUACUGUUUAAUCACUUAUUAAGAAGUGGGAAAUUUGGGGAUUUCUUGAUACCAAGCCAAGGUCAGGUAGACCAAGAAAGAUUUCAGCCAAAACUGCCUGACAUUUUUUUUGGGAUACAAAGAAAAACCCACAGUUAACUUAAGGAGAAAUACAGGCUGCUCUGGGAAAAGACUGUGGUUAUUUCAAAGAGCACAAUACGAAGAUAUUUGAACAAAAAUGAGCUACAUGGUCGAGUUGCCAGAAAGAAGCCUUUACUGCGCCAGUGCCACAAAAAAGCCUGGUUACAAUAUGCCUGAUGACACUUUCACAUGGCUUCUGGCACACUGUAAUUUGGAGUGAAGAGACAAAAAUAAAGCUUUAUGGUCACCACCAUAAGCUUUAUGUUUUGAGAGGGGACAACAAGGCCUAUAGUGAACAGAAUACCAUCCCCACUGUGAAGCACUGAUGUUUUGGGGGUGUGUGAGCUCUAAAGGCUCAGGGAAUCUUGUGAAAAUGUAUGGCAAGAUGAAUGCAGCAUGUUAUCAGAAAAUACUGGCAGACAAUUUGCAUUCUUCUGCAUGAAAGCUGCGCAUGGGAUGUUCUCUUGGAAUUUUCAGCACGACAAUGACCCUAAGCACAAGGCCAAGUUGACCCUCCAGUGGUUACAGCAGAAAAAGGUGAAGGUUCUGGAAUCGCCAUCACAGUCUCCUGGCCUUAAUAUCAUCUAAACACUCUGGGGAAAUCUCAAAUGUGCGGUUCAUGCAAGACGACCAAAGACUUUGCAUGACCUGGAGGCAUUUUGUAAAGACGAAUGGGCAGCCUGUAUGCUGUCAUUGAUGCUAAAGGGGACAACACACAGUAUUAAGAACUAAGGGUAUGCAGAUUUUUUUCUUUGUUGCCAUAUUUUGUUUUAUGGUUGUGACACUGUUAUGAUCUACAGUUGAAUGUGAAUCCCAUAAGAAAUAUAAGAUGUUUUGCCUGCUCUCUCAUGUUUUCUUUACAUAUGGUACAAAUAUUACCAAUUCUCCAAGGGUAUGCAAACUUUUAUCGCAAAUGUAAGUAUAUCGGUGGGUGUUGUUAAAGUUGUUUUGAUCUGUAAUUCUGUGGAUUGUUUAUGAUCACAUUUACAUAUAUUGGUUGACAUCCAUACAAGAAUCAUACUCACUGGCUGAAUCGC